rnacentral:rRNA from 1 species
GACGAACGCUGGCGGCGUGCUUAACACAUGCAAGUCGAACGGAAAGGCCCUGCUUUUGUGGGGUGCUCGAGUGGCGAACGGGUGAGUAACACGUGAGUAACCUGCCCUUGACUUUGGGAUAACUUCAGGAAACUGGGGCUAAUACCGGAUAGGAGCUCCUGCUGCAUGGUGGGGGGUGGAAAGUUUCGGCGGUUGGGGAUGGACUCGCGGCUUAUCAGCUUGUUGGUGGGGUAGUGGCUUACCAAGGCUUUGACGGGUAGCCGGCAUGAGAGGGUGACCGGCCACAUUGGGACUGAGAUACGGCCCAGACUCCUACGGGAGGCAGAAGUGGGGAAUAUUGCACAAUGGGCGGAAGCCUGAUGCAGCAACGCCGCGUGCGGGAUGACGGCCUUCGGGUUGUAAACCGCUUUCGCCUGUGACGAAGCGUGAGUGACGGUAAUGGGUAAAGAAGCACCGGCUAACUACGUG